CAGGCCGGACUGUGCGUGUGGGCGGGAUAUCCGCCCACAGUCGCAGCCAGAUCUGCAGCCCAAGCCCCAGAUUCCAGCGCUGGCCUCGCUGCAGCCGGUUUCCUGCCGUGUGCCUUUGUCACUGGCACAAAGCAGGGUCCUGGUCCUGGACAGAGGUGCAUUAGCUGAAUUUGAUACUCCAACCAAUCUCAUCGCAGCUAGAGGCAUCUUCUACGGGAUGGCCAGGGAUGCGGGACUUGCCUAAAAUAUGUUCCCGGGAUUUCCUCCCAGCCUUUCCUGGAAGGGAAAUGACACCAUGUGUCCACAGAACGGACUGUGCCUCUGGAAGGAGCCUCACAAAGUAAGCAAGGAAGCGAGGCCCAAGAGGAGGAGGAGGAGGAAGAGACAUCCGCAGUCACAGCGCAGUAGGCGGGGCCCAGGCUAGUACCUCGGUCUCCUGAUUCCCAAUCUAGCCUUAUUUCUGCACUUCACUAUUUUUGAACAAUCAUUCCAUGGAGAGACCUCUCUCCUGCCUUGAAUUGUUCAUAUUUUCUAAAGUAUUUUUUAAUGAAGCUUUUCCCUCCUGGAACGGAAGACUGCCAGGUCAGGCUGGCCUGGGAACCGAGUCCUGAGCUCCGGGUGCUGCCUGCCUGCGACUGAACACGGUGCUGAGGGAAUAAAGCUGUGUGGUCAGCAGCAGACACACCCCGGCGUCGCCUUUUUCUGCCUGUUCAUGGGGUUUAGGGACUGUGACCUUCAGAGGAGCCUGGGAGGAACAGGGAAAAGCAAAGGAGGGCUUCAGCGGAGGAGCUGUGUGGCUGUAGUCACCUUAAUGGUUUGGACCUGAAGCUUUCGGCUGGAAAUACAGUCUUCACGGCCAAAAUUCAGUGGGUAAUUGCCAGCUGUUUGGCUCUGCUGUGCAGAUACCGUGAAAAGCUGAGAAAGAAAGGCCCUGAAAUCUGACCCGCGGCCUCUUGGGAAAGCAGCUCAGAACAACUCCCUGCUCCCCUGUCCCUCAGCCUUGGGCUGUUUCUCCAAGGGCUGAGGAGGGCGGUUUCCUUCCUUGCUUCCUUCUUUGCUCCUUUAUGGACAGGUCCUGACAGGUCCCAUAACCAGAGCCCUCCAAGUCGCUCAGUCUUCAGUCCUGCAGAGAAGCCCAGAGCUGUCCCCCUCCCAUCCCAGGCUAGCAAAGGAGAUGGGGGAGUGGCUAUUCUUUUUUUUCUUUCAGUACUAGGAACUGAAUCCAGGGCCUUUGCACUGGGCUACAGCCCCAGCCCUUUUUAUUUUUUUUAUUUAGAAACAGGGUGUCCUGAGUUCCUUGGGCUGGGCUCAAACUUGCAAUCCUCCUGCUUCAGCCUCUCAGAGGGCUGGAAUUAUAGGCGUGCACUACCACACCUGGCUUAAAUUCAAUUUUCCAGCAAGCCAACAGUUUAUUCUGCCUUUGCAGGUCAGGGUCCAGCUGGCAGCAGGCCUUCUAUCUGGAAGUUUCUUUGUCCCCGUGCCCAACACUCUCCUGAUCUCACUCCCAUCUCCUGCACCUUUGCCCCUGGUCUGCUGUGCCCGGUUGCGGUGGGUGACAGUGGUUUUUUUUCUCCCUCCACUCUAAGCAGUUUGCAGUAGAUGUAGAGCUGGCCCCUUUUUCUCUGUGCUCUGGGUCGGCCUGUGGCUACAGGGCCAUUUGUUAAAGGUUAAUCACAUUUUUUUUGGCAGGCUGUUUCUGCCCAGGAUGUUUAUGGGUAUAUGGAAGGCGACUUCCAUCCUUGUGAUAAAGCAAGUCUGAAAGCACAAAUGCCCAAAUUAUUCUGCCUCUCCUUGGUGCUAAGAAAAGGU
ensembl:lncRNA